CAAGUCGAGCGAACAGACGAGGAGCUUGCUCCUCUGACGUUAGCGGCGGACGGGUGAGUAACACGUGGAUAACCUACCUAUAAGACUGGGAUAACUUCGGGAAACCGGAGCUAAUACCGGAUAAUAUAUUGAACCGCAUGGUUCAAUAGUGAAAGACGGUUUUGCUGUCACUUAUAGAUGGAUCCGCGCCGCAUUAGCUAGUUGGUAAGGUAACGGCUUACCAAGGCAACGAUGCGUAGCCGACCUGAGAGGGUGAUCGGCCACACUGGAACUGAGACACGGUCCAGACUCCUACGGGAGGCAGCAGUAGGGAAUCUUCCGCAAUGGGCGAAAGCCUGACGGAGCAACGCCGCGUGAGUGAUGAAGGUCUUCGGAUCGUAAAACUCUGUUAUUAGGGAAGAACAAAUGUGUAAGUAACUAUGCACGUCUUGACGGUACCUAAUCAGAAAGCCACGGCUAACUACGUGCCAGCAGCCGCGGUAAUACGUAGGUGGCAAGCGUUAUCCGGAAUUAUUGGGCGUAAAGCGCGCGUAGGCGGUUUUUUAAGUCUGAUGUGAAAGCCCACGGCUCAACCGUGGAGGGUCAUUGGAAACUGGAAAACUUGAGUGCAGAAGAGGAAAGUGGAAUUCCAUGUGUAGCGGUGAAAUGCGCAGAGAUAUGGAGGAACACCAGUGGCGAAGGCGACUUUCUGGUCUGUAACUGACGCUGAUGUGCGAAAGCGUGGG
rnacentral:rRNA from 1 species